rnacentral:rRNA from 1 species
ACUGAAUAGAUACCCCGGUAGUCCCAGCCGUAAACGAUGCUCGCUAGGUGUCAGGCAUGGCGCGACCGUGUCUGGUGCCGCAGGGAAGCCGUGAAGCGAGCCACCUGGGAAGUACGGCCGCAAGGCUGAAACUUAAGGGAAUUGGCGGGGGAGCACAACAACGGGUGGAGCCUGCGGUUUAAUUGGACUCAACGCCGGACAACUCACCGGGGGCGACAGCAAUAUGUAGGCCAAGCUGAAGACUUUGCCUGAAUCGCUGAGAGGAGGUGCAUGGCCGUCGCCAGUUCGUACUGUGAAGCAUCCUGUUAAGUCAGGCAACGAGCGAGACCCGUGCCCACUGUUACCAGCAUGUCCUUUGGGAUGAUGGGUACUCUGUGGGGACCGCCGGUGUCAAAUCGGAGGAAGGUGCGGGCACGGUAGGUCAGUAUGCCCCGAAUCUCCCGGGCUACACGCGGGCUACAAUGAAU